UUAAUAAAGACUUAAUAAUAAUAAUAAUAAUGGAGCAGCCUAUAUGAUUUUGGCAGUGUCCGGUGCCAUAUGCAUGCGCAAAUGGGAUCUGGAGUCUACAGCCUGUUCACCUGAGCCGAUGACGCGCGCGUAGUGUAAAUUACUAUUAAAUAUUGCUGAACGGGCUUUGUUUUCAUUUUUGCUCGGUAAAACACAUUCAAAGGACGUCUGAAGGCCCAUAUUUUAUGAUUUUGUAGGUGUUCGAGCGCAAUUCUUUGUGAAUAAGAAACAAGAGCGAGAAAAGUGCAAAAUUUUGCCUUAUUUUGGGGCAAAUAUUGUGAAAUAUGAAGCCGUGAAAUUCGAAACUACUUUUUGUAUUGCGAAAGUUUGAUAUGUCUAAAAAAGUAAAAAAAACUGUAUCGAGCCACCUCAGAUCAAAUAACAUAUUAUUUGAUUUGGAAACGCAGCCAAGAGAGGCAACAAUAACUAGUGUCUUGAUCAAGACAAUAUGUAUCUUUCUCCUUUAAAAACUAGAAACAGUAAAACCUUUCUUCACAUGCCGCCGGCACUGCAUUUGUGGUAUAAUAUAAUCUGGUUAUUUGCACUUCACUGAUAUUAGAAUGCUGUUUUUAGGGUUUGUAAUCCAAGUGAGUAUAUACAGUAUACACUUUAAGACCUGACCAGGAACAACUGCGAAAAAUGCAGCACAAGGUCCUCUGGUAGGAAUUUAAUCUAGCAAUGUAGCAGAUCAAUAUAAAUAUGUCAAUUUUGUGGAACAACACUCUGUCCCUGUUGCAAUGAACAUCAAAGAUAUCAUGGUGGCUACCAAAAAAGAUCAUGAACUACAGAAUGCCAUAUUAAACAUUCAAUCAGGAAAAUGGACUAAGGCAAGUGAUCUAUUUUCUGUCAGGCAUGAACUAUCAGUGACCAAUAACGGACUACUCUUGCGCGAGGUACACAAAUUGUUAUGCCAUCUAAGUUGAGAAUGGAAACAUUAAAACAUGUUCA